UGUGACUAAUUAAAUUCCCAUGUCUGUGCUU
rnacentral:piRNA from 1 species